CUACGGGAGGCUGCAGUGGGGAAUCUUAGACAAUGGGCGCAAGCCUGAUCUAGCCAUGCCGCGUGAGUGACGAAGGCCUUAGGGUCGUAAAGCUCUUUCGCUGGGGAAGAUAAUGACGGUACCCAGUAAAGAAACCCCGGCUAACUCCGUGCCAGCAGCCGCGGUAAUACGGAGGGGGUUAGCGUUGUUCGGAAUUACUGGGCGUAAAGCGCGCGUAGGCGGAUCAGAAAGUUGGGGGUGAAAUCCCAGGGCUCAACCCUGGAACUGCCCUCAAAACUCCUGGUCUUGAGUUCGAGAGAGGUGAGUGGAAUUCCGAGUGUAGAGGUGAAAUUCGUAGAUAUUCGGAGGAACACCAGUGGCGAAGGCGGCUCACUGGCUCGAUACUGACGCUGAGGUGCGAAAGCGUGGGGAGCAAACAGGAUUAGAUACCCUCGUAGUC
rnacentral:rRNA from 1 species